UACGAAGGGAGCUAGCGUUGUUCGGAAUCACUGGGCGUAAAGCGCACGUAGGCGGAUGUGUCAGUCAGGGGUGAAAUCCCGGAGCUCAACUUCGGAACUGCCUUUGAUACAGCACAUCUGGAGUCCGGAAGAGGUGGGUGGAAUUCCUGGUGUAGCGGUGAAAUGCGCAGAUAUCAGGAAGAACACCAAUGGCGAAAGCAGCUCUCUGGGACGGUACUGACGCUGAGACGCGAAAGCGUGAGGAGCGAACAGG
rnacentral:rRNA from 1 species